CAUCGGGUACAGUGAUCGACAGAGAGUCUGCGUAUCGGUCACUUUCAAGCAUCGUUUCACUGGCACGGAAAAAUUCAGAAAUUUACGAGACCAUCGAACAUCUCCGAUAUCGUCGAGCUGGUCAUUAACCCCGGUGCUCCAGUUCCGCGGUUUCCGCUAGAGAAACCGCACUGCCUACCGAGUUCUGACCUUUGUUAGGAGAAGUACAACCCUUCCUGUGUAGCCUAUGCCGGAAUCUUAGGAGCUCUGUUUGCGGUAUGAAGAAGGAUAGAUGCGAAAUGGGGAUUCCUAAUCACAAGGUGCACAGGGCGUGUUAACCGUGUAGUCAACGUAGCGGGACACGUUCGUGGAUCAAAGCUGAAUCGACGCGUGCAGGACAAAUAGACGGGGCAUUAGCGCGUCUUCACCGUUGAAAUCGCACCAUGACACGCGUCCUUCCAUUCACAGCGUUUUGCAUUACAACCUGCGACCUACGAUCUUAUCGAAGACCUCUCGAGAA